rnacentral:misc_RNA from 1 species
GUUCCGUAGGUGAACCUGCGGAAGGAUCAUUAAUGAGUUGUCAUGGGGUUCGAUGCUGGCAGCCAAUUUUUGGAUGCAUGUGCUUGCCCUAACAAUCACCUUCCAAACACCUGUGCACAUUUUUGAGGGAGUCUUGAGUUGGUUGCCGCUCUUGGGUGAUUUUCUCACAUUCCCUUAAAUCAUUAUACGCUAUUAACAAUGUUGAACGUGCUCUGUGCCGCAAGGCUAUUAAUAUAAUACAACUUUUAACAACGGAUCUCUUGGCUCUC